rnacentral:rRNA from 1 species
AGUUGCGAGGACACUGUUUGGUGGGUAGUUUGACUGGGGUGGUCGCCUCCAAAAGUGUAACGGAGGCUUCUAAAGGUGCCCUCACGCCGAUUGGUAACCGGCGUUAGAGUGUAAUGGCAUAAGGGCGCUUGACUGGGAGACUUACAAGUCGAUCAGGUAGGAAACUAGAGCAUAGUGAUCCGGUGUUUCCGUAUGGAAGGGACAUCGC